GACGAACGCUGGCGGCGUGCUUAACACAUGCAAGUCGAACGGUAAGGCCCUUCGGGGUACACGAGUGGCGAACGGGUGAGUAACACGUGGGUGAUCUGCCCUGCACUUCGGGAUAAGCCUGGGAAACUGGGUCUAAUACCGGAUAGGACCACUGCCUGCAUGGGUGGUGGUGGAAAGCUUUUGCGGUGUGGGAUGGGCCCGCGGCCUAUCAGCUUGUUGGUGGGGUGAUGGCCUACGCAGGCGACGACGGGUAGCCGGCCUGAGAGGGUGACCGGCCACACUGGGACUGAGAUACGGCCCAGACUCCUACGGGAGGCAGCAGUGGGGAAUAUUGCACAAUGGGCGCAAGCCUGAUGCAGCGACGCCGCGUGAGGGAUGACGGCCUUCGGGUUGUAAACCUCUUUCAGCACCGACGAAGCGCAAGUGACGGUAGGUGCAGAAGAAGGACCGGCCAACUACGUGCCAGCCGCCGCGGUAAUAC
rnacentral:rRNA from 1 species